GUGUUUUGUAAAAAAUGUGCUUAUAAAUCUGUAGGUGUGCCGAUACCUUUUCGCAGAACUGACCAAUCUGUGAAUACAAAAUAACUCAUAGAUUUCAAAUCUACGAAAAGGUACAUCAGGCGUAACCAACGGCUGGGAACGUAAUUAGUAAAAUAAUAGGUUUAUAAACAUUUUAGCUACUGAACCACAACCACAAGCAGUUGUGGAGGAUCCAUUCGAAGUGUCGAACAUUUUCGAAGCUGGUGUAGAGGGUGGCACAAUCGAUAUUUCUGGUGACGAGGAUUAUGACGAGGAUGGUCACGAGGAUGGUGAAGGUGCUAAUAAAGCAUCUAAAACCCCCGGGUUUGAUUUGCACGCGCAUUCACUGGAAGAAUGUUUUAGAUAUUGGGCUUUGAAGACCAAUGCGGCUCAUUCUUCCGUUAAUUUGUUGCUUCAUAUUAUUCGUGAGCGGACAAAUUUUUUACUCCCUAAGGACGCACGGACGUUGUUGAGAACAAGCACGGCGCCCAAAACAAUAUUAAACGUCGCGGGGGGGGGCAGUUUUGGUAUAAUGGCCUUGGACCGUGUCUUGAAAAAGCAUUCAGGUGAGAAUAUGUUAAAAUAAUAUAGUUUUUUUUUAUAUAGUAUAUAUAAAAAGUAGUUUUAUAGAUUUAUUAAGGCUUAAGGAGUCACAGCAGGUUUAGUGGUAUAUGCUCAUCAUGAGUUCAAGCCCCCUAUGGAUUGUGCAUAACCCGUCCCCUCUCCCCUUCACCCCUAUCAAUGAUACGUGAGUCUGAUUAUCCUGCUAUGAGUUACAGAUACCCAAACCCAUUAUUGGCACAGACACGUCGGUUUGUCGGUGCUUACAGGGCCACUACGCUUUUACCGCCAAAGAAGGCAGGCACAAUAUUUCACACUUCCUCUAUCUUUAUAGUUUAACUAAUAUUUGAUAUGUGUAAUAUUUUUUUAUUUUAGAAAACAGAGGAUAAUACCCGGCACAAAACUACCUAUCAUUUUGAAUAUUGAUGGAGUGCCUUUGCACAAAAGUAGUCGAACGGCAUUUUGGCCAAUUUUGGCCAAAGUACACAAAAUGCCUUACAUUAAACCUAUGACGGUGGCAAUAUUUUGUGGGACAAAAAAGCCUGAUUCACUGGAGGAAUACCUUCGUCCGUUGGUAAAUGAUUUUAAUCAAAUCAUUGACAACGGAGUACUUGCUGGCGCUCCUCCCACUUUGGUGAAAAUUGAAGUACAUGCAAUUGUGGCUGAUUCCCCAGCACGUGCAUUUCUUAAAGGUAAUUACAAAAAUGGAUCUUGUUUCACGAUGUUUUAAUACUUUAUUCCUAGGUGUGGUGUCACACGUAGGGCAUCACGGCUGCUUGAAAUGCACGGCAGUUGGAUAUUAUCAUCCAACAUCAAGAACAACGUGCUUUCCAUCAACCAGUGCUGCUCCGAGGACGGACUUAGAAUUCCGUGCGGGUGUUUAUAAGGAACACAUAAAAGAAAAAAACCCCACAAUUAGAAUUGAAGAAAUACAAUAUGGUAAAACAAAUGCCGGUGGAUGAUGACCUGCAUCUUUUCUACUUAGGUAUACAACGCCGGCAUUUGCAAGGGAAGGUGUACGGAUUGUGGGGGUCGGAAAAGUGGGCUGCAGAAAUGGUUGAACAAAUUUCGUUGCAUUUGGUAAGCAUAGUUUUGCGAUCGGAGAUCCAUCGCAAACUACGCAAGUUGGACGAUUUGAAGUUUUGGAAAGGCUCUGAGUACAGUUCUUUCCUACAUUAUGCUGCUCCUGUCGUUUUGAGAGGCAGAGUUAGCGAAAAUGAAUACAACCACUAUAUGCUUUUUAAUUGCGCUACAAAAUUCCUUUGCUCAAGAACGUUUAAAAACCAAUGGACAAGCGCUGGAUAUUUGCUUGAACAAUUUGUUGCCGACUAUGAUAAAAUUUACGGGGAAGGGUACGUGAGCAGUAAUGUUCAUAAUUUGCUACAUGCUACAGAGGAAGUAAUGGACCUUGGAACUCUCCAUGAAACAUCGACAUUCGAUUUUGAAAAUGCGCUUCAAGGUAAGACACGCAUGCUAAGAAGUGGUUACAAAAAUUUGGAGCAAGUAAUAAACCGGCUGUCCGAGUUAGACAAUUUAACUGCUCCAGAACCAAUGAAAUUUUUUUAUGACAUCGAAAUUCACGGUACUAACGUAACAGUUCUCAUGAACAAUUAUGUAUUGAAGAAAUGAAAUAGAGAUGGUUGGUUUCUUUCCACAGGACAAGAAGUUAUCCAAUAUUGUUCGGCAGCGAAGGUAUCUUCUACUGUGCGUAUUACUGGAAAAAAGCUGAUUGGCAGAAAGAAAGAAGCCUUCAUCUUCCCGCUUUCUUCAACAUACCUUUUCACAUUUGAAUGCAACAUAAAUGAAAUUGCUAGAACCAUGGUCGAGCUAAGUCCAUCAGAAGUGUUUUGUAAACUUGUGGCCAUUUCGUUAAAUGAAGAUGGAGACACUUUUUUCACACCUUUAAUACACACCCUUCCCGACAUUGACAACAUUUGAACAACGGUAAGUUUUGUUUGUAAUAAAAAUAAAUAUUGUUUAUUUAGUGCGCGUCUGAUAUUAUUCACAUCAUAAUUUUUAUUAAUUAAUUCAUAAAAAAAGGCCUGGCCAUAAUUGAUAAAUAAUAAUUCAAAAAUGCAACUAAUUAAUAAGAAAUAGAACAGCUUGGCCUAGUUACUUCAUAAUUGUUCAUAAAUAAAACUAUGAAAAAAAUUAAAAUAAUUAUUAUGGCCUAUUAAAAUUAAAAUAAUUAUUAAUAAAUAAUUAUGGCCUGGCCAUUAUUAGUUCAUUAGCUUUCAUAACUAAAACUAAUUAAAGUAAAAAUAACUUUUUAUGGUCUGGCCGUUUUUGAAUUGCAAAAGAUCACAUUUUGUUGUUAGUAAUUAAUCUUAAAUAACUUAUUCUAAUUUCUUAUUCUAUUUAUUAUUUACAUUUUCUUUGCCAAUUUUAACAUGUGGAGCUGGUUUUCUCACACCAGUUAAUGUGGUCCUCCGCAUGGCAUUAUGGUUUUUUUUUUUUUGACAAAAAAUGUUUCUACUUCUUCAUCUUCCAGAUUGCCAAGAUCCUUGAAUAGUUCCAACACAUUAUUCAAUUCCUUCAAACUUAUCUUCUUACCUCUGCCGCUCCAAGAACACUUAGCGAAUAAUUUUUUUGAAAAAACAACAUCGAUUGCGCGAUGUAAAAUGUAAUUCGUUCUACUGUCUGCUGCUUUUCGUAAAAUAAACAUUUUUACGUUUUCUCGAAACUGUUCAUCGACUCCUAAAAGAGCAUCGAACAAUUCAAGAUCACUUUCGUUGUCCAGUGGAUGAAAAACAAAUUUUUGUACACUACUUUGCUUCGGAGGGCCAAUGGCUCCCGAUUGAACCGCAUGCUGAACAAAUUGGUACAAUGAAUUAAGGGUACGAAGUAUUAUGCGAUUGUCCACCGUUUGACUAGCAGGCGAUUCAACUGGAGCCGGGAGCGGUUCAACUGAAGACACGUCAUUAGCAUUUGGGAUAUCAUCGAUCUGCCAACUUUCUUCUAUAAUUGAUGAUACAUCAAUAUCAUCGCAACGCUCCGCUAGUGAUGAUGUCAUUGUAGACGGUAUUUUGUUUUGUGAUGAUGUUGAAAUAAUUCCUGAAUCUAUGUCUUUUUCCGAUUCAACGCCUACCAACGAGGAAUUCACUGGCGCAGGAGUUUUCCGCACGAUGGGUACUGGAGUAAAGGGCUUCAUAUCGAAAGGCACAACAUCAAUCAGUUGCGGUGAACUGAUAUUUUUUUAAUGCUGGCAGAGGAGCACACGAAUUAUAUAUGGAAGCGGCAUUUGACGAUGAAGGUUUUUUCGUUCUCUUUCCAGGUUGUAAAGCAGUUUCUGAUGGCACAAGUGUUCCAAACGACGACGGAAGCAUUGGAGGAACCAGCGAUAUUUGGGAUGUUCCAGCCGUACCAGGCACUUCACUAGAGCACGGUAGUGGUCCGUCUGCUACGAAAGGAAACGGAGACAAUGAAGGUAGAGGUGUCGUCGGUGAUGUCACUUUUGCUCCGGAUGGUUUCAAAAACUUCGACGGCACCCCCUUCGUACUUGACGACAACGGAACUAGCGGUGGGGGAAACGUUGUGCUUAUCGUUUUAAACGCACCUGCUGGCAACACACGUGCUGGUGGAAAUUUUGGCGGCAGCGUCGUCGAUGGUCCAGCCAUUCCGGAAUGCAAUGGAGUUACCGGAGGACGCAGCACAAUCGACGAUAAAAUCUUUGAACUUGUCGUCGGGUGCUCACCGGUACGCGGCGAAGGAAGCGGUUUCGAUGGAUCUGCCGCCUUCGUCGGCAGCGGAGACGAAUGAGCCGGGAACGUGAAGCGUACCGUUUUAAGCGCACUUGUUGGCAACACACGUGCUGGUGGAAAUUUUGGCGGCAGCAUCGUCGAUGGGCCAGCCAUUCCGGAAUGCAACGGAGUUACCGGAGGACGCACCACAAUCGACGAUAAAAUCGUUACACUUGUCUUCGGGUGCACAGCGGUAUGCGGCAAAGGAAGCGGCUCUGAUGGCUCUGCCACCCCAGUCGACAACGGAGACAAAACAGCAGGGAUUGAUACCCUUGAUGUAGCCAUACUUGGCGGAUCCGUCAUGUAAGUAGCUGUUUGAAUCUUAUUCUGCUAAAACGUAAUGAUAUACAAUGUUUCUAUUAGAAGAUAUAAACCAAGCAUGUAAAGCAAUGUAAUCACUUACAAUGUUGUUAUUAAUAUCCAUUUUAACUCAAAUUAGGAACAAGUUCACUUUCAACUUGUUUAACUUAACAACGAACAAAUUCACUUUCACUGGAUAAUCAGAUCAACUUUGUUUAUGAUUAUUUCAUUACCGAUAGACGAAAACAGCCGGACGCGUGAAAUUAAAAGCCAAACUCAGUCAAAAUUCAAAACACAGCGCAGCGAAAAUGCCGCUAAACAAGAAGAGUGCCAAAAUGUGUAUGAAAAAAACAACAUGUUUGCGGAGAGAGAGAAAUACACUGUCCGCUUGAGUGCAAACAAAGCUGUCCUUUUCUUUCCUCUGUCAUCCGAAAUGUGUGUGCGUGAGCACAGAGCGCGUGGAGCAUGCAUUAGUGUGCGUGUAACCACCCAGAUCAAACGCUUGAAUGUGUGCGUGACGAAUGAUUCGGGCGCCUGUGGCGACCCAACAGUCAAAUGCCGAAGAUUUUAUAUUGACCUUUCGUUUUUUCUAUCUGUCUCUCGCUCUAAUUUGAGUGAUUUUCCCUUCGUGAGUAUCCACGAGCUCCCUAGUGUGGUUGUUGUUGUUGGAAGUUGAAACCGAACCCCCUUCGUGCGCUGCCAAAAUCAGCGAAGAACGAAAUCGAGUGGCUCAAGCGAAAAAACGAAAAAAAUGAUAAACGAGUGUGCUGUGCGAAUAACACAAACGCACGCACAAGGCGACACCCGAAAUUUGGUGCGAUACCGGCUUUCAGUGGUGCAAGUACACACAUGCACACAUUUGGCCACACCACGGUGAUACAACACACAGCCACGCACUUGGCGAUACACGCUGUGUGGUGCGGUGCGGCGGACGUUCAGAAUUCAGUGGUGCAAAUACACACAUGCAUACACUUGGCGACACACGCUCUGCUGUGCGGUGAGAUUUGUGUUCUGUGUCCAGUGGUGCAAAUAUACACACACACGCACUUGGCUACACACGCAGUACGGCGCGGUUGGCUUGGCAGAAGCGCUUACACACAUUCACGCAGUAGGCUUCACUUUCAGUCCAGUGAGGUUGGCGCUUGUGUGGUGUUUCAGCGCUUGGCGGAUAAACCCCGUAAAAAUGGAGUUUUGUUUAGUUUGAGGUAAGUAAAAGUGAUUAAAAUUAUCAACCAACAUCCCCCCUUCUAAUUAAUAUCAUUUUUCUUCCAUUUCAUGUGUGUUUCACGGCGAACGGAGACAACAAAACCUGUGGCAGUGUCGUGGUGUUGGAGAUGGUGGCCCGUACAGUGCAGCGAGAAGAACUAGGCGCGACAGCGAUGUGGAGCAGAAAGUGCUGUGCUGAUUUUAAUUUUUCUUUGUGCGAGUGUAAAAAGUGUUUUUUUUUAUUAUGUGCGUUAAUUUAGAAUUAAGUGCAAUGAUUAUUGUGCAUGUGUUGUGUUUUUUUUUGUAUUCUAUGUUGGUUCGAUAUUCAAUAAAUCGAAUCAUGUUGAUAUAAUGGUCCGCACUGUAUCAUUUCGGAAAGAAAUCCUGGCAAAAAAGGGGGAGGGGGCUAUUUUAACGAAGGGUCGUGCCGAACCCCGUUCGGGUUUUGCUUCGGCUUCGGGUUUGCUUCGGCUUCGGGACCCGACGGAUCGGUUGAAUAAUUUCGCCAACUCAGCUUCAAAGCCAGCUUCAAUCUCAGCGGAUCUCUGAGUGCUGGUGACCGGUGGGGAGGCUCUCGACACGACUGCAAACGAGAGCUUUGUGGAGAGCUUUGUAGGGAGCUCAGAUUACACAGGCCGCCGUCGGUUUUUGCGUCCUUGGGACGUACCCACUUGCAGUAGAAGUGUAAAUGUGAUUUCACGCACACAUAGACACCCAACAGUCAAAAGCCGAAGAUUUUAUAUUGACCUUUCGUUUUUUCUAUCUGUCUCUCGCUCUAAUUUGAGUGAUUUUCCCUUCGUGAGUAUCCACGAGCUCCCUCGUGUGGUUGUUGUUGCCCAAGUAGCAGAGCCGAAGUUUUUCAGAGAUUUUUCUGUGUGCCAAAGCGAGAUGCCCUGUCUUCUCUCUCUAGAUUUUGGACAGCAAACCGCUGCGCGUGUAGAGGUGUGUGCGUGUGACGAACAACGAUGGAUGAAAAACGCGAGGAGCGGGGUCCGAAGUCUUUCGUUGGUCACACACACAUGCAUCUACCGUUGGAUUGCGCUACAUCGAGUCUACCCAUCUCUCUCGAUCUACCAUGAUUUUUUCUGCUAUCGCACUCAUCUGGGAGUUAGGCAUCCUCAGUCUGCCCAGAACUUUCGUUGUGGAAGGAUGUGCGGGAGUGAUGUGCGAUUUCUUGUGUCCCCUACUUUCCUUGUUUACGUUUUGCGCAGUGUUGCUUCUUCUUCCAUUGUGGAAUGAUUUAUCCUACCAAAUUGUUGAGUUACAGGUGCAUGCGCCAUUCAUCAACGCCUACCUGUUGGCAUCAUCAACAAUCUUUAUAGUAGGUGACGGAAAGAAAUUGUUUUCAAGUUUUAAAAUAUUAAGCGUUCAGCACAACUCAGCCACAAAACAACGCACUGGAUUGCGCUAAGAACCUGUCGAAACGCGCGCAGCCCCCGGGAGCGGUAGGAGAAAGGAAGAACGAGAGGAGAAAAAACUAAAGCCAGCGCGCAGCUCUGAUGGUACCCCGUACGCGGUAAGAAGAAAAAAGAUCGAGAGGAGGAAGAACGGUAAAUUUGGAAGGGGGAGACCGUUCUGCCGUCUCCACAGUGUGAG